ACGACAGGCCGCGCCACCGCCGACUUCGAUCGGAGGAAAGUCCGGGCUCCGUAGGGCACGGCACCGGGUAAUCCCCGGGCGCGAUCCUGAAAAGGGUCGUGACAGAUAGUGCCACAGAAAAUAUACCGCCGGCCGAGUCGCCAAGGCACUCGGUGGGUAAGGGUGAAAAGGUGGGGUAAGAGCUCACCGGUUCGGUGGUAACACCGGGCGCAUGGUAAACCUUGCCGGGAGCAAGAUCAAGAAGCGAAUGGGCUGCUCGCUCACAGUUCGCGGGUAGAUCGCGCGAGACCCCGUCCGGAAACGGCGGGGCGAGAUAGAUGGUGGCGCCCGACCGCUCAAUCGGGUGGUCGGGACAGAACCCGGCUUACAGGCCUGUCGUUUCU
rnacentral:RNase_P_RNA from 1 species